GCAAUGGUGUCUUUAGACACCACAACUUCUCUCGAAUACAUUCUC
rfam:Picea glauca, whole genome shotgun sequence.